AACAUACCUAAACGUUGCUUCGGCGGGAACAGACGGCCCCGUAACACGGGCCGCCCCCGCCAGAGGACCCCCUAACUCUGUUUCUAUAAAUGUUUUUUCUGAGUAAACAAGCAAAUAAAUUAAAACUUUCAACAACGGAUCUCUUGGCUCUGGCAUCGAUGAAGAACGCAGCGAAAUGCGAUAAGUAAUGUGAAUUGCAGAAUUCAGUGAAUCAUCGAAUCUUUGAACGCACAUUGCGCCCGCCAGUAUUCUGGCGGGCAUGCCUGUUCGAGCGUCAUUACAACCCUCAGGCCCCCGGGCCUGGCGUUGGGGAUCGGCGGAGCCCCCCGUGGGCACACGCCGUCCCCCAAAUACAGUGGCGGUCCCGCCGCAGCUUCCAUUGCGUAGUAGCUAACACCUCGCAACUGGAGAGCGGCGCGGCCACGCCGUAAAACACCCAACUUCUGAA
rnacentral:misc_RNA from 1 species